AGUCUACUAACGCCUAGAAUUGAUGCAGGUCUGAGUGACUGCACGUAUGUAUUAUUUUUCCCUAAACUGCUUUGCUUCCAGCAUGUCCAGGCUCAUUUGGAAAAGGUUACAGGGAGAGCAAACAGCCUCGGUAGAGCGAGACACUGCUGCCCUCCUGUGGACGCAGAGGGGAAUGAACACCAGAUGUCGGAUCACGCCGGAUACCAGAUCACACCGGAACCUGCCCCGAUUUCCAGCUUGACAGUGCAAAGCCCGAGAAAGCCUGUAUGGAGGUAGUGAAACUGCCAGUAGGAGAAGCCACUGAAGCUGACGUCUACCUCCCGCAUGUCGCUUUUAGGGACUGCACUACAGCACUACUCUAUGUUGCUCAGGCCUCCUGGUGCUUACGUCUGUGGCUUCAUCAAGAAUCCAGGGAUGGAGGCUUAGAGGAGCACUUCUGUGUGGGGUCAGGAAAAUUCCAUCAUCUGAUUACCACCCACCUCCACUCAAAGGCUCCUGGGGAAGUAGGCUGACAGGGCUGUGCUGGAGGUGGACCCCAUGGCACCAUGCUUUGCGAAUGCUGGUGUCCAGCUGAGUCACACGAUGAUUUUGUGCGUGCUGACUCACCAGGGCUGGGGGGGGGGGUCCUGCAUUUCUUCUGUAUUUCCAGCCACUGCUAUGGAGUGGCCUCCAAAGAUGGCCAAAUCCUAAUACCUAAAACUUGAGAAUGUGACUUGAUAUGGCAAAAGGGUCUUUGAAGAUUAGAGCUUUGGAAAGGGGGAGAUUACCCAGCUAGGGCACUGUGUGUCAUCCCAAGGGUGCUGGGCAGAGAAAGCCAAAGGGAGAUCGGACUAGGGCAAGUGAUGAUAUGGCCACUGACAGUGUGACACUGCUGGCUUCAGAGAUGGAAGACAAGAUGCAGCCCAAGGAAGGAAGCUCUAGGUGCUGAACAAGGCAAUACACCCUGUUACCUCCCUGUUUCAGUCCCGUGAGUGACUGAGACUUAUGUUGAGAAUGUAGGUGUGUUGGGGCACAGGUUUGUUAUAGCGGCCAAAGGAACGAAUAUACCACUGGCUUAUACACCGAGGGUGCUGGCAGUCCUCAGAAGUGACUCCCAACCCUGGCUGCAUGUUAGAAUCACCUGGGAAACUUUAAAAAACAAAAGAGAGUGUCCAGGCCCCUUCUGAGACCAGCUAAACCAGGUCCCAUGGGGAUGGGACCCAAGGGUCCCUCGCCCAGAGGCUCUUGGGGUCCAGGAAGCCCAGGUGGUGGACUACUGCAUUAGCCCAAAGUGUAAUUUUCUGUGUUCCAG
rnacentral:lncRNA from 1 species